rnacentral:rRNA from 1 species
GUAGGGGGCAAGCGUUAUCCGGAUUUACUGGGUGUAAAGGGAGCGUAGGCGGCCACGCAAGUCAGAAGUGAAAACCCGGGGCUCAACCCUGGGAGUGCUUUUGAAACUGUGCGGCUAGAGUGUCGGAGGGGUAAGUGGAAUUCCUAGUGUAGCGGUGAAAUGCGUAGAUAUUAGGAGGAACACCAGUGGCGAAGGCGGCUUACUGGACGAUGACUGACGCUGAGGCUCGAAAGCGUGGGGAGCAAA